UGGUGGAGUGAUCUGUCUGGUCAAUUCCGAUAACGAACGAGACCCCAGCCUGCUAAAUAGUUGUACGAAUUCUUUGAAUUCGAUAUCAACUUCUUAGGGGGACUUUUGGUGUUUAGCCAAAGGAAGUUUGGGGCAAUAACA
rnacentral:rRNA from 1 species